CCUACGGGGGGCUGCAGUGAGGAAUAUUGGUCAAUGGACGAGAGUCUGAACCAGCCAAGUAGCGUGAAGGAUGACUGCCCUAUGGGUUGUAAACUUCUUUUAUAUGGGAAUAAAAUGUUCCACGUGUGGGAUUUUGUAUGUACCAUAUGAAUAAUGAUCGGCUAACUCCGUGCCAGCAGCCGCGGUAAUACGGAGGAUCCGAGCGUUAUCCGGAUUUAUUGGGUUUAAAGGGAGCGUAGGUGGAUUGUUAAGUCAGUUGUGAAAGUUUGCGGCUCAACCGUAAAAUUGCAGUUGAAACUGGCAGUCGUGAGUACAGUAGAGGUGGGCGGAAUUCGUGGUGUAGCGGUGAAAUGCUUAGAUAUCACGAAGAACUCCGAUUGCGAAGGCAGCUCACUGGACUGCAACUGACACUGAGGCUCGAAAGUGUGGGUAUCAAACAGGAUUAGAUACCCUUGUAGUC
rnacentral:rRNA from 1 species